GCUGGAUGCUGGAGGUGUUGGAGUGGACAUUGUGCUGGAUGCUGGAGGUAUUGGAGUGGACAUUGUGCUGGAUGCUGGAGGUAUUGGAGUGGACAUUGUGCUGGAUGCUGGAGGUAUUGGAGUGGACAUUGUGCUGGAUGCUGGAGGUAUUCCCUGGGGGAGGGCUUCUCCUCACACCACCACUGCCUUGGGCUUCACAGCAUUAUUUUACAGCAUCAUUGGCAAGGAAUGUGGCUGGAAGCUGCACCACUUCAUAGGAUUUUAUUCUUUCACUGUUUUAUCUUUAUUCCAUAGCCCUCCUUGUGUCACCCUCUAGUGGAAGCUGCUGAAUUCAGCUGAAAUCUUCCUCUGUUUAAAAGUGAAAAUAAAAAAAAUGUGUUCAAAG